rnacentral:rRNA from 1 species
GAUGAACGCUAGCGGCAGGCUUAACACAUGCAAGUCGAGGGGUAUAGGUUUUCGGACCUAGAGACCGGCGCACGGGUGCGUAACGCGUAUGCAAUCCACCUUUCACAGAGGGAUAGCCCAGAGAAAUUUGGAUUAAUACCUCAUAGUAUAGCAGUUUCGCAUGAAACCACUAUUAAAGUAUCAACGGUAAAAGAUGAGCAUGCGUCCCAUUAGCUAGAUGGUAAGGUAACGGCUUACCAUGGCUACGAUGGGUAGGGGUCCUGAGAGGGAGAUCCCCCACACUGGUACUGAGACACGGACCAGACUCCUACGGGAGGCAGCAGUGAGGAAUAUUGGUCAAUGGACGCAAGUCUGAACCAGCCAUGCCGCGUGCAGGAUGACGGUCCUAUGGAUUGUAAACUGCUUUUGUACGAGAAGAAACAACAUUACGUGUAAUGUCUUGACGGUAUCGUAAGAAUAAGGAUCGGCUAACUCCGUGCCAGCAGCCGCGGUAAAAC